rnacentral:rRNA from 1 species
UCGAGCGGGCAUAGCAAUAUGUCAGCGGCAGACGGGUGAGUAACGCGUGGGAACGUACCUUUUGGUUCGGAACAACUGAGGGAAACUUCAGCUAAUACCGGAUAAGCCCUUACGGGGAAAGAUUUAUCGCCGAAAGAUCGGCCCGCGUCUGAUUAGCUAGUUGGUGAGGUAAUGGCUCACCAAGGCGACGAUCAGUAGCUGGUCUGAGAGGAUGAUCAGCCACAUUGGGACUGAGACACGGCCCAAACUCCUACGGGAGGCAGCAGUGGGGAAUAUUGGACAAUGGGCGCAAGCCUGAUCCAGCCAUGCCGCGUGAGUGAUGAAGGCCCUAGGGUUGUAAAGCUCUUUUGUGCGGGAAGAUAAUGACGGUACCGCAAGAAUAAGCCCCGGCUAACUUCGUGCCAGCAGCCGCGGUAAUACGAAGGGGGCUAGCGUUGCUCGGAAUCACUGGGCGUAAAGGGUGCGUAGGCGGGUCUUUAAGUCAGGGGUGAAAUCCUGGAGCUCAACUCCAGAACUGCCUUUGAUACUGAAGAUCUUGAGUUCGGGAGAGGUGAGUGGAACUGCGAGUGUAGAGGUGAAAUUCGUAGAUAUUCGCAAGAACACCAGUGGCGAAGGCGGCUCA